rnacentral:rRNA from 1 species
UAUGCUUUGGGUAGCUGUACGUAAGCUAUGAUCCAGAUAUUUACGAAUGGGGGAACCCAACAUCUUUAAUAGGAUGUUACGAUUGUGUGAAUACAUAGCACAUUCGAUGUAGACGCAGAGAACUGAAACAUCUAAGUACCUUCAGGAAGAGAAAGAAAAUUCGAUUCCCUGAGUAGCGGCGAGCGAAACGUGAAAAGCCCAAACCAGCAAGCUUGCUUGUUGGGGUUGUAGGACUCCAA